CAGAGAUGGUAGUGCUGCCAGAAGCUGGUCCGCACUGUUGUAUGCCCAGCUGGGCAACGUUUGUGCUGCCAGACGCGGAGCAGUCGUGGCUAGCGAUUGUGGUCGUAAAGUCAAAUGGUCGGAAGUUGCAUAGGUGCUAAGUCGAUCAAUACCCUGUGGUAUUUUUUGUGU